rnacentral:rRNA from 1 species
CCAGCAAUGCCGCGUGAGUGAAGAAGGCCUUCGGGUUGUAAAGCUCUUUUACCCGGGAAGAUAAUGACCGUACCGGGAGAAUAAGCCCCGGCUAACUCCGUGCCAGCAGCCGCGGUAAUACGGAGGGGGCUAGCGUUGUUCGGAAUCACUGGGCGUAAAGCGUGCGUAGGCGGCCAUUCAAGUCAGAGGUGAAAGCCCAGGGCUCAACCCUGGAACUGCCUUUGAAACUAGAUGGCUGGAACACGGGAGAGGUGAGUGGAAUUCCGAGUGUAGAGGUGAAAUUCGUAGAUAUUCGGAAGAACACCAGUGGCGAAGGCGGCUCACUGGACCGUUGUUGACGCUGAGGCACGAAAGCGUGGGGAGCAAACAGGAUUAGAUACCCUGGUAGUCCACGCCGUAAACGAUGAUAACUAGCUGUUGGGGCUCUUGGAGCUCCAGUGGCGCAGCUAACGCAUUAAGUUAUCC